AGAGUUUGAUCCUGGCUCAGAUUGAACGCUGGCGGCAUGCCUUACACAUGCAAGUCGAACGGUAACGCGGGGCAACCUGGCGACGAGUGGCGAACGGGUGAGUAAUACAUCGGAACGUGCCCAGUAGUGGGGGAUAGCCCGGCGAAAGCCGGAUUAAUACCGCAUACGACCUACGGGUGAAAGCAGGGGAUCGCAAGACCUUGCGCUAUUGGAGCGGCCAAUGUCAGAUUAGGUAGUUGGUGGGGUAAAAGCCUACCAAGCCUACGAUCUGUAGCUGGUCUGAGAGGACGACCAGCCACACUGGGACUGAGACACGGCCCAGACUCCUACGGGAGGCAGCAGUAGGGAAUUUUGGACAAUGGGCGCAAGCCUGAUCCAGCCAUGCCGCGUGCGGGAAGAAGGCCUUCGGGUUGUAAACCGCUUUUGUCAGGGAAGAAACGCUCUGGGUUAAUACCCCGGGGUAAUGACGGUACCUGAAGAAUAAGCACCGGCUAACUACGUGCCAGCAGCCGCGGUAAUACGUAGGGUGCAAGCGUUAAUCGGAAUUACUGGGCGUAAAGCGUGCGCAGGCGGUCUUGCAAGACAGAUGUGAAAUCCCCGGGCUUAACCUGGGAACUGCAUUUGUGACUGCAAGGCUAGAGUACGGUAGAGGGGGAUGGAAUUCCGCGUGUAGCAGUGAAAUGCGUAGAUAUGCGGAGGAACACCGAUGGCGAAGGCAAUCCCCUGGACCUGUACUGACGCUCAUGCACGAAAGCGUGGGGAGCAAAACAGGAUUAGAUACCCUGGUAGUCCACGCCCUAAACGAUGUCAACUGGUUGUUGGGAAGGUUCCUUCUCAGUAACGUAGCUAACGCGUGAAGUUGACCGCCUGGGGAGUACGGCCGCAAGGUUGAAACUCAAAGGAAUUGACGGGGACCCGCACAAGCGGUGGAUGAUGUGGUUUAAUUCGACGCAACGCGAAAAACCUUACCUACCCUUGACAUGUCUGGAAUUUUGCAGAGAUGCGAAAGUGCUCGAAAGAGAACCAGAACACAGGUGCUGCAUGGCCGUCGUCAGCUCGUGUCGUGAGAUGUUGGGUUAAGUCCCGCAACGAGCGCAACCCUUGUCAUUAGUUGCUACGUAAGGGCACUCUAAUGAGACUGCCGGUGACAAACCGGAGGAAGGUGGGGAUGACGUCAGGUCAUCAUGGCCCUUAUGGGUAGGGCUACACACGUCAUACAAUGGCCGGUACAGAGGGCUGCCAACCCGCGAGGGGGAGCUAAUCCCAGAAAACCGGUCGUAGUCCGGAUCGCAGUCUGCAACUCGACUGCGUGAAGUCGGAAUCGCUAGUAAUCGCGGAUCAGCUUGCCGCGGUGAAUACGUUCCCGGGUCUUGUACACACCGCCCGUCACACCAUGGGAGCGGGUUCUGCCAGAAGUAGUUAGCCUAACCGCAAGGGGGGCGAUUACCACGGCAGGGUUCGUGACUGGGGUGAAGUCGUAACAAGGUA
rnacentral:rRNA from 1 species